UUGGCGGACGGGUGAGAAACGCGUGGGUAAUCUACCCUUGGAUUUGGGAUAACUCUGCGAAAGUGGAGCUAAUACCGGAUAGUCUGGCUUUAAAUAAGAAGUCGGUAAAGGAUGCCUCUGCAUAUGCAUUCGUCCGAGGAUGAGCCCGCGUCUCAUUAGCUAGUUGGUAGGGUAAUGGCCUACCAAGGCAACGAUGAGUAGCUGGUCUGAGAGGAUGAUCAGCCACACUGGAACUGAAACACGGUCCAGACUCCUACGGGAGGCAGCAGUGGGGAAUAUUGCGCAAUGGGCGAAAGCCUGACGCAGCAACGCCGCGUGAAGGACGAAGGCCUUCGGGUUGUAAACUUCUUUGACCAGGGACGAAACAAAUGACGGUACCUGAAGAACAAGCCACGGCUAACUACGUGCCAGCAGCCGCGGUAAU
rnacentral:rRNA from 1 species